UGCAUGUCUAAGUUCACACUGUAGCACGGUGAAACCGCGAAUGGCUCAUUAAAUCAGUCGAGGUUUACUAGAUGAAAAGUAUCCUACUUGGAUAACUGUGGCAAUUCUAGAGCUAAUACAUGCAACCAAGCUCCGACCCUCGCGGAAAGAGCGCUUUUAUUAGUUCAAAACCAAUCGUCGUACCCUUCGCGGGGUGCGGCGUCCCGAUUGGUGACUCUGGAUAACUUUGUGCUGAUCGCAUGGCCUUUGCGCCGGCGACGCAUCUUUCAAAUGUCUGCCCUAUCAAAUGUCGAUGGUACGUGAUAUGCCUACCAUGUUUGUAACGGGUAACGGGGAAUCAGGGUUCGAUUCCGGAGAGGGAGCAUGAGAAAGGGCUACCACAUCCAAGGAAGGCAGCAGGCGCGCAACUUACCCACUCCCGGCACGGGGAGGUAGUGACGAAAAAUAACAAUACGGGACUCUUUCGAGGCCCCGUAAUUGGAAUGAGUACACUUUAAACCCUUUAACGAGGAUCAAUUGGAGGGCAAGUCUGGUGCCAGCAGCCGCGGUAAUUCCAGCUCCAAUAGCGUAUAUUAAAGUUGUUGCAGUUAAAAAGCUCGUAGUUGGAUCUCAGGCGCAGGCGGGCGGUCCGGCUCGCGCCGGCUCACUGCCCGUUGUCUCCUGCCCUACCCGUCUGCCGGCUCUCUCCCGCGGGUGCUCUUCGCUGAGCGUCCCGGGUGGCCGGCGCGUUUACUUUGAAAAAAUUAGAGUGUUCAAAGCAGGCCGAGCUGCCUGAAUAAUGGUGCAUGGAAUAAUGGAAUAGGACCUCGGUUCUAUUUUGUUGGUUUUCGGAACUGGAGGUAAUGAUUAACAGGGACAAACGGGGGCAUUCGUAUUGCGGCGUUAGAGGUGAAAUUCUUGGAUCGCCGCAAGACGAACUACUGCGAAAGCAUUUGUCAAGAAUGUUUUCAUUAGUCAAGAACGAAAGUCAGAGGCGCGAAGACGAUCAGAUACCGUCGUAGUUCUGACCAUAAACUAUGCCACCUGGCCAUCCGCAGGAGUUGCUUCGAUGACUCUGCGGGCGGCCUCCGGGAAACCAAAGGUUUUGGGUUCCGGGGGAAGUAUGGUUGCAAAGCUGAAACUUAAAGGAAUUGACGGAAGGGCACCACCAGGAGUGGAGCCUGCGGCUUAAUUUGACUCAACACGGGAAAACUCACCCGGUCCGGACACUGUAAGGAUUGACAGAUUGAUAGCUCUUUCUUGAUUCGGUGGGUGGUGGUGCAUGGCCGUUCUUAGUUGGUGGAGCGAUUUGUCUGGUUAAUUCCGAUAAGCAACGAGACUCUAGCCUAUUAAAUAGUUCGCCGGUUCCUUGAUGCGCCGGCGACAACUUCUUAGAGGGACGAGUGGCGUUUAGCCACACGAAAUUGAGCAAUAACAGGUCUGUGAUGCCCUUAGAUGUCCGGGGCCGCACGCGCGCUACACUGAAGGAAUCAGCGUGGAUACCUCCCUGGCCCGAAAGGGUUGGGAAACCCGUUGAAUCUCCUUCGUGCUAGGGAUUGGGGCUUGUAAUUCUUCCCCAUGAACGAGGAAUUCCCAGUAAGCGCGAGUCAUAAGCUCGCGUUGAUUACGUCCCUGCCCUUUGUACACACCGCCCGUCGCUACUAUCGAUUGAGCGGUUCAGUGAGGGCCUCGGAUUGGUCUCGGUCUGGC
rnacentral:rRNA from 1 species